rnacentral:rRNA from 1 species
AGGGGCAGCGGGGAGUAGCAAUACUCCGCCGGCGACCGGCGCACGGGUGCGUAACGCGUAUGCAACCUGCCGAUAACUCGGGGAUAGCCUUUCGAAAGAAAGAUUAAUACAAGAUGGCAUCAUGAGUCCGCAUGUUCACAUGAUUAAAGGUAUUCCGGUAGACGAUGGGGAUGCGUUCCAUUAGAUAGUAGGCGGGGUAACGGCCCACCUAGUCUUCGAUGGAUAGGGGUUCUGAGAGGAAGGUCCCCACAUUGGAACUGAGACACGGUCCAAACUCC